UACGUAGGGUGCGAGCGUUAAUCGGAAUUACUGGGCGUAAAGAGUGUGUAGGCGGUGCUCUAAGUUCGGUGUGAAAUCUCCCGGCUUAACUGGGAGGGUGCGCCGGAAACUGGAGUGCUCGAGCGUGGGAGAGGAAAGCGGAAUUCCUGGUGUAGCGGUGAAAUGCGUAGAUAUCAGGAGGAACACCUGCGGUGUAGACGGCUUUCUGGACCAUUGCUGACGCUGAGACACGAAAGCGUGGGUAGCAAACAGG
rnacentral:rRNA from 1 species